rnacentral:rRNA from 1 species
GAUGAACGCUGGCGGCGUGCCUAAUACAUGCAAGUCGAGCGAACGGACGAGAAGCUUGCUUCUCUGAUGUUAGCGGCGGACGGGUGAGUAACACGUGGAUAACCUACCUAUAAGACUGGGAUAACUUCGGGAAACCGGAGCUAAUACCGGAUAAUAUUUUGAACCGCAUAGUUCAAAAGUGAAAGACGGUCUUGCUGUCACUUAUAGAUGGAUCCGCGCUGCAUUAGCUAGUUGGUAAGGUAACGGCUUACCAAGGCAACGAUGCAUAGCCGACCUGAGAGGGUGAUCGGCCACACUGGCACUGAGACACGGUCCAGACUCCUACGGGAGGCAGCAGUAGGGAAUCUUCCGCAAUGGGCGAAAGCCUGACGGAGCAACGCCGCGGGAGUGAUGAAGGUCUUCGGAUCGUAAAACUCUGUUAUUAGGGAAGAACAUAUGUGUAAGUAACUGUGCACAUCUUGACGGUACCUAAUCAGAAAGCCACGGCUAACUACGUG